CCUACAUGCAUAGGCUCGGUCCCCCGGCAAGGGCCUGAGCCAUGAUGAAUCUAAAGUUUACAACAUCCUCACGUUUAAACGUUUCCUGAGAAUAUCAG